ensembl:lncRNA
AAAGAAGCCCAGAGCUGUUAGACCCAGGAGCAGACACAGGGUGUGCCUAACUUACCCUCAAGGUUGCAUAAGCAAGAUUUCAAAAUUAAUUCUACUCUGGAGACUUCAACCUAGUAUACAAUGUUCCUGGCUGGAAAAGAAGAACUAUAUCAUUCUUUUUUUCAAAUCUUUACCAUUACUUGCCCUUGUAUCUCCGCCUUCUCUUUCUGCAGGAAACUUUAUUUCCUACUUCUGCACACCAAGUUUCUACCUCCAGAUCUGUUUGGUUCAGUUGCUGAGAAGCCUGACACACCAGUGCCACUUGGAAGAAGCCAUCUACCGCUGGAGGUGGGGAAGAGAACGAGACAGGCACAGGUGAAUGGAACAAGAGGGAGUGGGGUCAGGACCAAGGAGAAGGAGGAGGAAGUGUCAACAAGGCUGAGCCUGGACGAGGAUGCAGGUAAGGGCUUUGCUCUCCCUUAGCACCAUCUCCUACUGUAUUUAACUUUGGAGGCUUCCCCAGCUCAUGGAGAGCUUAGGAGCUGUAAGAACUUUCUAGAAGCUUUGGUUGGGUCCAUGAUCCCCCUUCUGCUAAAUGCAUGACACAUUUCUGCUUUAUUAUGGUUUAGCUAUGACAACCACGCACCCUACAUUUGAAAUCUAUUCGGUAUCUUGCCCCAUUGUUCAUGUGCUUCUUAGGCCUCAUUCCCCUAUACAAAAAUUUACUAAAGGACUUCCCUGGUGGCACACUGGUUAAGAAUCCGCCUGCCGAUGCAGGGGACACGGGUUCAAGCCCUGGUCCGGGAAGAUCCCACAUGCCGCGGAUCAACUAAGCCCGUGUGCCACAACUACUGAGCCUGCGCUCUAGAGCCCGUGAGCCACAACUACUGAAGCCUGCACGCCUAGAGCCCACGCUCUGCAACAAGAGAAGCCACCGCGAUGUGAAGUCCACACACUGCAACGAAGAGUAGCCCCUGCUCACCGCAACUAGAGAAGGCCCGUGUGCAGCAACAAAGACCCAACGCAGCAAUAAUAAAAUAUAAAAUGAAUAAAUCUUUUUUUAAUAUUUACUAAAGUGUUUAUAAAAAUAUGCAUAAUCUUUAAUGAGAUGAAAAAAUAAAAGCCCUCGCUUGGAAACGGGAGGGUUGGAGGUCGUGAUUAUGAGAAAGGGGUAGUCACUAGUGAGUUCCACCAACAGGAGUGGAGGGGUAAGCUCGCAGCAGGAUGUGCAGGAAUGUUUCCAGAAUCAGCUAAGAGCAGAAGCCAGGAAGGAUGCGUUAGAACACUUAAUAGGCCUCAUGCCUCUGGAUCUGAUGGUGUCUGUUUCCUUGUGGCUCUUCCUGCUUUCCUGCUCCGCUGCCCACCUGUCCCCCUGCAGCCUUUAUCACAUAACUCUGCCUGGAGGAUUACCCUACUCCAAAAGCCGGUUUGUAGCGGUCCAGGAGAGCAGCUUUGGGGAGAAUGUGAAGGAAACUGUGCAACAAGAACCCCCUGUUGGGCCCUGGAGUGGGAAGACAACUGGUGAGGAUACUGGGGUAUGUGCUCAGAGCAGAGAAGGGGCCUGUCUUGGAAAUCAAACAUCGGCCUGUAACCUCAGGGUCUAUUACCAGGCAGGGCAGGCCUAGAUGAGGAAGACGCUAGAUAGGGUGGAAAAAAAUGUCUUCCAAAUUACCUUCCAGGACCUCAUUUUUGCAUACAGGCAAAGAGUUCAGGUAUACACACACACACAUUUUUUUUAAUGUAAAGUAAAAAUUAAAGCUGAAAACUGCAACUUGCAAUUGUGGUAAAGUAUCACUUUAAGAGUUACUACUACGCCAUGCCUAACAACACUGUAUUAGUCACAGAGACAACUCUGGUGUUGGUGGAGCACGUGGUAUGUUUGGGAGACCACCGGUUCAUAAAUAAAUGUUGAUUAGGGAGUUGGAGGUCUCUGAUCUGUGGAUUUACUAGCUUACGGUGAUGUAGCAUCUAAAUAAUCUCAGUCGGAUCACAGCACACACUCCACAACUGUCAUCUCAACUGUCUUUAUUCUCUCUGACUUGCUACCAAAAAUCUCUUUUGCCUUGUUAGGAAGUCUAGGGAGUCGUGGAUUUAAUCCUAUUUGAAUGCUUCAUGCCUUGCCAGUGUCCUUACUGAUGCUCAAAUGGUCCCCUCUUUGGCCGGUGGGAACUUCUAAUUCAAGCUGACUCCUAAUCAAAGCUUUUAAAUCCGGAGAGGAAUUGGAGAAGCUCACUUAAAUAAGCAGAGAUUUUCAUCUUGGCUGAGCUAAGAAUACAAAUAUAUGUUAGUGCAUUUCCUAUCUGAUGCAGGCAAGAAACACAAGGCUCCUGGAACCUGGCAACUGGGGAGCUGGAAGUUACUACGGUUUUACUUUCUUGCCUCGUGGCUGAAGAAGGUUUCAGAAAGAUGCGUGUGCGUUGCGGGGGGGCUUCACCUGCAGAUAUUUAUAUUAUCCUGAUGAAUGCAUUACAUUUUGUUCUGAUGAUGAUGAAACAUAAAUAUUGUUUUAAAAAACUAUGGCUUGGGGCUUCCCCGGUGGCGCAGUGGUUGGGGGUCUGCCUGCCGAUGCAGAGGACACGGGUUCGUGCCCCGGUCCAGGGGUAUCCCGCAUGCCGCGGAGCGGCUGGGCCCGUGAGCCAUGGCCGCUGGGCCUGCGCGUCCGGAGCCUGUGCUCCGCAACGGGAGAGGCCACGGCAGUGAGAAGCACGCGUACCGCAAAAAAAAAAAACAAAAAAAAAAACUAUGACUUGGAAAAUGAAUCAAUACUCUAACUAUAUUGUUUUAAAAGAAAAACUGUCUGAUUGUCAACUACCCUGUCCUUCUUCUCCCAAAACUCUGACAACCACCAUCCUAUUCUUUCCAUCUAUGAGUAUGAUGAUUUUAGAUUCCUCAUAUAAGUGGAAUUAUGCAGUUCUUAUCUUUCUGUGAUUGACUUAUUUCACUUGGCAUCCUGUCCUCCAGGUACAUCCAUGUUGUUGCAUAUAGCAGGAUCUCCCUCUUUCUUAAGGUGAAAUAAGAUUCCUUAGAUGUACUGACCAUUUUUUCUUUAUCCAUUUAUCAACAUGCAUAGAAUUUCAGUUAUACAGGAUGAGUAAGUUCUAAGUAUCUGUUUUACAACAGUGUGCCUACAAUACUGUAUUGUACACUUAAAAAUCUGUUAAAAGGGUAAAUCUCAUACUGUAUUCCUACCACAAUAAAAGUCUUUAAACUGCCUGCUUUGUUAUGCUGUGGUGCGACAGACUGUCUUACGGUUCACAGCUUUUCACUCCCUUCCCCCUGUCAUUACACAUACUAGUCCUUUCCGUGUGACUUGCAGCGCGCCCUACAAGAGGGACCCCCACCCCCAAGCCACAGCCGGCUCAGCCAAUAGAAAGUGAGCAGAACUGACAGUGUCGAGUGACUGGGUGGAGCCUCUGGCUCUCCCUGCUCAGCCACAGGAAGGCCCGUCCCAGAAAACAAGUUCAGCCCAGGUGCCUGGUGAGUGAGCAGGAAGACGCAGAGAGCAGAGCCAGGGCCCCGG